GGGCCGUUAGCUCAACCAGGCAGAGCACCUGACUCUUAAUCAGUAGGUUAUUGGUUCGAUUCCAAUACGGCCCACCA
rnacentral:tRNA from 4 species